GCAGAGGUCACCAUGAGUGGAUCCUAAGAGAUAGGAGAAUUCCGUUUGAAAGUCGAUUGUUUUGGCAGUGUCAUCGGAUGCUGUUUGCCGCAGUCCCGCUUAUCGAAAGGGAAUCGGAUUAAUAUUCCCGAACCGAGACGUGGAUAAUGUGUGGUAACACAAACGACCCAGAAGACGCUAGCGUGUGCCCAGGGAAGAGUUCUCUUUUCUUUUUAACAUGCAUUUCCUGCCCUGGAAUCGGAUUACCCGGAGAUAGGGAGGAAGCCAUGGCAAAGCACCUUGAUUUUUAGGGUGUCCUGCGCGCUCACGACGGCCCUUGAAAAUUCUGGCGAGAGAUUUAUUCGCACCCUCGUUCGUACUCAUAACCGCAUCAGGUCUCCAAGGUUAGCAGCCUCU
rnacentral:ncRNA from 1 species